GUGAUCCAAAGCAGUAAGAGUAAUUCUGUCUUUGCUUUCUCACGCAGCAUGCACAAAUAUGCUGGUGGUUCUUUGAACAAAGGAAAACUGGGAACAUGCCAGGCAAACUAUUUUCAGUUUCCCCAGUCAAAUUCAUAUACCUCUGUGCUCCACACUCAAAAAUCUAAAAUCCUGCAGGAGCUGUGCUGCAAUCAAAGCAGUAAGGCUCACAAAAAUUGCCCAAGAAGCCAGAACAAGGCAUUGCAAGGAGCAGCCCCAGCACUUAUCUGAGUUUUCUGAAUCUAAGAUAAACUCUAGCCUGCCUGAUGUGAGGUCCAGUAGAAAGCUCUUCUGGAGUGAACUGAUCCCCUGCAGAAUUCUGAUCAGCUUAUCAGCUGGGAAAGCCAGGGAUAGAAGACAUGAAAGCAGGAGCAUGGUUUGUCUGAUAAAAGAGAAGUGGUAUGCAAAAGAUGUCAGAUAUCAAGCAGGUGCACACCCUCGGGCAGGAGUAAGGCAGGGAAUGCAGAACCAACCCAACCGUCCAAGUGAUGACGUCCAAAAAUCAGGAUUCUCGCCUGGAAACUAAAGUAAGAGAGAGGAUCCUAACCAACCUACACAAGAUCAUGAAGAAGGACAGAAGUCAAGCAGCAACAUAAUUUCAUUCACGAUUUAGAUCUGUUCAAGGGAUCAUGCUUUCAGCUCACAAUGAAGCUAAUCAGCAAGGUUUAGAGAACAGUCCCAUUAAGUUAGCCAGAACACAGUAUGCUUUUAGAUGACUGCUUUAUGCCUCUAAAGAACUGAUGAUGGCAAAUACCAUGGAGAAAAGCAAUAACAAAACUUAUUCCAUACUUCUAAAUUUCAGCCCACAGAACAAAGCUCUACUUGAAAAUUCAGAACCUAAGAGGUUUGGGAACUGGACUUGUCUUGACUCCUGAGUGCCAAGUCCAGCUCAUGCCCACUGGCAGAGCGUGCUGCCCAGCGUCCUCCGAGCUUCCAGCUGGAGGGCUCGUCUGGAGCCUCGGGUGACCCUGCUUGUAUACCGACGAGAUGGAAAGCUCAGAAGAGUCUCACCCUGUUGCCACAGUGGAGGCCUACCCGAGGCAACAGGCAGGUGCCAGAGCAAAUAGAGACAUCAGAUAUUGAUUUUGGAAACUUAUCCCAGAACACUGACCCGGGCCAAAGGGAGCUUAGCAUUCUGGAUAUAAACGAGGAAGGCAGCGGGCUGUCAGAGGAACGCUAACAUCCAUCCACCCCACAACUCGGGUCAGGGAGGCCUGAAAAGAGAGGCUUCCAAACCGGCAGAGUCAGGCCCAGCGCGCCUGGUGGACGACGAACAUGAUGAUUAAUGAGCAGCUCCUAAGGCACAAGCAGACACUGCCUUAAAUUUCUGUUAGGUGAGGUGAAAGUCGCUCAGUCAUGUCCAACUCUUUGUGACCCCACGGACUGCCAGGCUCCUCUGUCCAUGGAAUUCUCCAGGCAAGAAUACUGGAGUGGCUUGCCAAUACGUUCUCCAGAUUUCUAUUAAUCUUUAUAACUAAUAAAAAAUCCAGCCGAUGCAAACAAAACGGAGCA
ensembl:lincRNA